UGUGUGUGUGUACAUUCUUGAGCGGAAAAUGAUGGCGAUUAUCCAGACGCUUGAAGAGCCUGUGCUCGGUAUGGAUGGAGGUGGCCGUGAAAACUAACAACACUCGCGGGGAAAAGUUUGAUUUGGACGAUCGCGACCUGUCUCGACCCCCGGACGUUUUCAGACGCAGAAAAAAACGAGUGGUUGAGGGUUGAGACUGUAAACUGGUGUAAUAUUCACGUGUGAAAGAGCCACGUAGCUUAGAGUUUCAGAUCACGAUCAUACACACACUGGCCUAGAGCUUUUAAAGCCUCCACACAAAUACAUCAACCUGAAGAAGAGGAGUGAACGAGAAAAUAAGAUAUAAAAAGCGGAACGAGCUGUUGGAGCAAGCAGUGCCUCCCCUGUAGUGUGGAUGAGGGAGUCAUGGAUGACCACACCUCCCCACUGGAGUCCGACCAGUUGCUCAGCCAAGACAUCCCAAUGCUCACCUCCCCGCUGCACCCGCCCAACAUCGUCAACGGAGAGGGACCACAACAGGUAAUCUUGGUGCAGGUAAACCCAGGAGAGGCCUUCACGAUCCAGCGAGAUGAUGGUCAGUUUCAGUGUAUCACAGG
ensembl:lncRNA